UUUCCCUCUCUCUCCACUCUGCCCACCAUCUUUCCCUCUCUCCACUCUGCCCCCCAGCUUCAUUCUAAUGUCAUAUUGCACUUCCCUUUCCUCUCUCUCUAAAGCCCAAAUGCAGCCUCUCUGCAACGGUUAAUCACUAGUUUUGGAGAGGAGAACCCAUUUUACUUAACAGUCCACCCAUUCUAUCCCCCAGUGGACUGUUCUUUGGCAUCCUGACAUCCAAUGCAGGACUAUGGACCCUGCUCUGGUCUUGAUGCCAUCAAUAUCCUUUGGAGUGUUGGGGUGAAGAUGCUGCAGGGACCAGUCCAGCUGCGAGGAGGAGGAUCAGACCUCAGGAUCAAAGAGUGUAUGACAGAAAUCCUGUAAUGUCUGCAGCAACCAAACGGACAAUCUUUUCCAUGUUUCCAAGUCACGUCACGUGAGAAUCUGGACCCUCAUGGAAGGAGGAUUGCUGUGCCAUAUCAGACCGUCCCCUCUGAAGCUAGUUGGCAUGAUUCCCUGAAUGGGUCACUUGCAACAUUUGAUAUUAAAACAGAAGAUCUACUACAUCUUACACAAGAACAUAGAUUGGAAGGUGUCUGGGGGACAUGGUGGGUCACAUUACAGGGUCAUCUGUAUGGUUGUGGGGGGCAUUUAUUGUAGGGUGCCCCUUAUGAUAGGAACAGAUGGGGAAUUCAUAUAUUGCAGGUUGUUGGGUACAGGUGCCAAAGGUAGAGGGAGUCACAGAUUGCAGGUUGAUCCUUAAGAAAGGUAAGAGGGGAGUGAUCAUCACAGAUUAGGGGGGUGCCCAUUACAAGAUACAUAAAGUGAUGACAGGCCUUUACCGUUCUUGAUAGUCAGUAAUGUAAAAAUGUUUACUAAAUUAUAUUCCUGUCUUUUGUAAAA